UUUACAAUGGAGAGUUUGAUCCUGGCUCAGGAUGAACGCUAGCGGCAGGCCUAAUACAUGCAAGUCGAGCGGUAGAGAUACUUUCGGGUA
rnacentral:rRNA from 1 species